UUUCCGUAGGUGAACCUGCGGAAGGAUCAUUAUUGUAUAACCGAGGUGCGAGGGCUGUCGCUGACCCCAAUGGACGUGCACGCCCGAGUGCCCUCACACACAUCCAUCUCACCCCUAUGUGCACCACCGCUUGGGUCCCCCUUUGGCUUGUUCGGAGGGGGGCUUACGUUUUCACACAAUCUUUGUAUGCAGUGUAGAAUGUAUUUUUUGUUUUUGCGAUCACGCAAUCAAUACAACUUUCAACAACGGAUCUCUUGGCUCUC
rnacentral:misc_RNA from 1 species